AGUUGUUCGUGUCUUUGAGACGUGAGUAACGCAGCUAACGCACUAAGUUGACCGCCUGGGGAGUACGGCCGCAAGGUUAAAACUCAAAUGAAUUGACGGGGGCCCGCACAAGCGGUGGAGCAUGUGGUUUAAUUCGAUGCAACGCGAAGAACCUUACCAUCCCUUGACAUCCAGAGAAUUUUCUAGAGAUAGAUUAGUGCCUUCGGGAACUCUGAGACAGGUGCUGCAUGGCUGUCGUCAGCUCGUGUUGUGAGAUGUUGGGUUAAGUCCCGCAACGAGCGCAACCCUUAUCCUUAGUUGCCAGCACUAAGGUGGGAACUCUAGGGAGACUGCCGGUGAUAAACCGGAGGAAGGUGGGGACGACGUCAAGUCAUCAUGGCCCUUACGGGAUGGGCUACACACGUGCUACAAUGGCGCACACAAAGGGCAGCAAGCGCGCGAGUGCAAGCGAAUCUCAAAAAGUGCGUCGUAGUCCGGAUUGGAGUCUGCAACUCGACUCCAUGAAGUCGGAAUCGCUAGUAAUCGUGGAUCAGAAUGCCACGGUGAAUACGUUCCCGGGCCUUGUACACACCGCCCGUCACACCAUGGGAGUGGGCUGCACCAGAAGUAGAUAGCUUAACCUUCGGGAGGGCGUUUACCACGGUGUGGUUCAUGACUGGGGUG
rnacentral:rRNA from 1 species